GCUGACACAUCCCGGCCAAUCUCCAGCAGACCCUCCCUCCCAGACCAUCCCACCUCCUGGACAGCAUCCAUGUUGAAGCUGCCUUCAACAUGGAUGCUGUCCAGGAGGUGGGAGGGUCUGGGAGGGAGGGUCUGCUGGAGAUUGGCCGGGAUGUGUCAG